ACUUAACAACAUACAACUGGCAUAAUAGCUUUUCUAUCGGUAGAGGAGCGUUGUAUAUGAAUUGAAGCAAAAAGCGUAAGCAAUUGUGGAUUAUAUACAAGUGAGAAUGCUGGCAUGAGUAGCGAAAAGGGAUGUGAGAAUCAUCCCCGUCGAAAGCCCAAGGAUUCCUGAGCAAGGCUCGUCCUCUCAGGGUAAGUCGGGACCUAAGGCGAGGCCGAAAGGCGUAGUCGAUGGACAACAGGUAGAAAUUCCUGUACUACAAGAUUGUGAUUGAGAGAAGUACUGACGCAGAAGGAAAAGUCGAGCGUGUGAAUGGUAGAACACGUCCAAGUAACAAGCCAGAAUAUACAGGCAAAUCCGUAUAUUCGCAAACGUAAGUUAUCAUGGGGAGCAGAAAGAUGCGAAGCGACAGAUUCAAACUGCCAAGAAAAGGUGCUAUCGAAUAAUCUUGUACCCGUACCGCAAACCGACACAGGUAGGCAAGAAGAGAAUUCUAAGACGCGCGGAAGAACCUUUGUUAAGGAACUCGGCAAAAUAAUCCCGUAAGUUAGCGAGAAGGGAUGCCUAAGAAAUUAGGUCGCAGAGAAUAGGCCCAAGCGACUGUUUACCAAAAACACAAGUAUCUGCUAAAUCGAAAGAUGAAGUAUAGGUGCUGACACCUGCCCGGUGCUGGAAGGUCAAGGGGACUUGUUAGAGCAAUCGAAGCAACGAACUUAAGCCCCAGUAAACGGCGGCCGUAACUAUAACGGUCCUAAGGUAGCGAAAUUCCUUGUCGGGUAAGUUCCGACCCGCACGAAAGGUGUAACGAUUUGGGCGCUGUCUCAACAAAGGAUCCGGUGAAAUUGUAGUAGUCGUGAAGAUGCGACUUACCCACGGUAGGACGGAAAGACCCCGUGGAGCUUUACUGCAGGUUGACAUUGAAUUUUGGGAUUAAAUGUACAGGAUAGGUGGGAGACUAAGAAGCAAGCUCGCCAGAGUUUGCAGAGUCACUGUUGGGAUACCACCCUUUUAAUUCUAAAGUUCUAACUAGUUGCCAUGAAACUGGUAAUAGGACACUGUCAGUCGGGCAGUUUGACUGGGGCGGUCGCCUCCAAAAAAGUAACGGAGGCGUUCAAAGGUUCGCUCAGAAUGGUUGGAAAUCAUUCAAAGAGUACAAAGGCAAAAGCGAGCUUAACUGCGAGACAUACAGGUCGAGCAGAGACGAAAGUCGGACUUAGUGAUCCGGUGGUACCGAGUGGAAGGGCCAUCGCUCAACGGAUAAAAGCUACCCCGGGGAUAACAGGCUUAUCUCCCCCAAGAGUCCACAUCGACGGGGAGGUUUGGCACCUCGAUGUCGGCUCGUCUCAUCCUGGAGCUGGAGUAGGUUCCAAGGGUUGGGCUGUUCGCCCAUUAAAGAGGCACGCGAGCUGGGUUCAGAACGUCGUGAGACAGUUCGGUCCCUAUCCACCGUGGGCGUGAGAAAUUUGAGAGGAUCUGUCCUUAGUACGAGAGGACCGGGAUGGACAGACCGCUGGUGUACGAGUUGUACUGCCAAGUGCACAGCUCGGUAGCUACGUCUGGGAAGGAUAAGUGCUGAAGGCAUCUAAGCACGAAACCAACCUCAAGAUAAGAUUUCUAUGAGAUUACUUGAAGAAAACAAGAUAGAUAGGUCAGAGGUGUAAAGAUAGUAAUAUCAAAGCUAACUGAUACUAAUAAAUCGAAAACUUGACUGG
rnacentral:rRNA from 1 species